rnacentral:SRP_RNA from 1 species
GCCGGGCGUGGUGGCGCACGCCUGUAAUCCCAGCUACUCAGGAGGCUGAGGCACAAGAAUCACUUGAGCCUGGGAGGCAGAGGCUGCAGUGAGCUGAGAUCAUGCCACUGCACUCCAGCCUGGGCUACAGAGCGAGAUUCUGUCUCAA